UACGGGGGGGGCAAGCGUUGUUCGGAAUUACUGGGCGUAAAGGGCGCGUAGGCGGCCUUCUAAGUCGGACGUGAAAUCCCUCGGCUUAACCGAGGAACUGCGUCCGAGACUGAAAGGCUUGAAUCCGGGAGAGGGAUGUGGAAUUCCAGGUGUAGCGGUGAAAUGCGUAGAUAUCUGGAGGAACACCGGUGGCGAAGGCGGCAUCCUGGACCGGCAUUGACGCUGAGGCGCGAAAGCGCGGGGAGCGAACGGG
rnacentral:rRNA from 1 species